rnacentral:snRNA from 1 species
AGCUUUGCGCAGUGGCAGUAUUGUAGCCAAUGAGGUUCAUCCGAGGCAUAAUUAUUGUUAAUUGAAAACUUUUCCUAAAAAACACUAAAAUUCAUGAAAAUAGAUUUCUAAUUUUUGACAAAAUUUAGAUU